rnacentral:rRNA from 1 species
CCGGGCCAUCGAUGGUCUGGCAAUUGGAAUGAGAACAAUUUAAAUCCCUUAUCGAGUACCCAUUGGAGGGCAAGUCUGGUGCCAGCAGCCGCGGUAAUUCCAGCUCCAAUAGCGUAUAUUAAACUUGUUGCAGUUAAAAAGCUCGUAGUUGUACUUCACGUCCCGCCCCAGUGUUUUUCCACUAGGCGGACGCCUCGUUACUUUGAGAAAAUUAGAGUGUUUCAAGCAGGUUUCGCCUGUAUAAUUGAGCAUGGAAUAACCUUGUAUGACCCUGUCGUACCGUUGGUUGGCUUUGGGUAAUGUUUAAUAGGAACGGUUGGGGGCAUUCGUACUCGACUGUCAGAGGUGAAAUUCUUAGAUUUGUCGAUGACGCACGACUGCGAAAGCAUUUGCCAAGGACGCUUCCAUUAAUCAAGAAC